rnacentral:rRNA from 1 species
GUUCCUACGGGACGCAGCAGUGGGGGAUAUUGCACAAUGGGGGGAACCCUGAUGCAGCGACGCCGCGUGGGUGAAGAAGCGCCUCGGCGCGUAAAGCCCUGUCAGCAGGGAAGAAAAUGACGGUACCUGAAGAAGAAGCCCCGGCUAACUACGUGCCAGAAGCCGCGGUAAUACGUAGGGGGCAAGCGUUAUCCGGAUUUACUGGGUGUAAAGGGGGCGCAGACGGCGAUGCAAGCGAGGAGUGAAAGCCCGGGGCCCAACCCCGGGACUGCUCUUGGAACUGCGGGGCUGGCGUGAAGGAGGGG